rnacentral:rRNA from 1 species
AUGAACGCUGGCGACGUGGAUAAGGCAUGCAAGUCGAGUGGGUUUAGACCCACGGCGAACGAGGUAGUAAUACGGAGGAACGUACCCCAAAGUCAAGCAUAAUCAGCCGAAAGGUUGGCUAAUUCUUGAUAGUCCCCGCACCAUUCGGUGCAGGGUAAAGGCGCAAGCCGCUUUGGGAACGGCCUCCGGGCUAUCAGCUAGUUGGUAAGGUAAUGGCUUACCAAGGCGAUGACGGCUAGGGGGGGUGAGAGCCUGUUCCCCACCGAUGGUACUGAGACACGGACCAUACACCUACGGGUGGCAGCAGCCGAGAAUCUUCCGCAAUGGACGAAAGUCUGACGGAGCGACGUCGCGUGGUUGAUGAAGUCCUUCGGGACGUAAAGACCUUUUAUAGGGGAAGAAUCCGUCGCAAGAUGGAGUGACUGUACCUUAUGAAUAAGGGGUUGCUAAACUCGU